GAUGAACGCUAGCGGGGGGCCUAACACAUGCAAGCCGAACGGUAUGGUUCCUCCGUAAUUGAGUGCGCGGCGUACGAACGCGUAACACGUAUGCAAGUAACCUUUAUCUGGGGGAUAGCCUUCCGAAAGGAGGUUGGACACUCCAUAAUAUAGUGAUCGUCAUCGAUUAAUAUUGAAAGCUUCGGCGGAUGGGGAUGGACUGGCGCCAUAUUAGCUUGUUGGUGGGGUAGUGGCUCACCAAGGCUAUGAUGGGUAGGCGGCCUGGGAGGGUGACCGGCCACAUUGGGACUGAGAGACGGCCCAGACUCCUACGGGAGGCAGCAGUGGGGAAUAUUGCACAAUGGGCGGAAGCCUGAUGCAGCAACGCCGCGUGCGGGAUGACGGCCUUCGGGUUGUAAACCGCUUUCGCCUGUGACGAAGCGUGAGUGACGGUAAUGGGUAAAGAAGCACCGGCUAACUACGUG
rnacentral:rRNA from 1 species